GUGACCUUACCUAUCGUUGCUUCGGCGGGAUCGCCCCGGGCCGCUCCACGCGGGGCCUCCGGACCACGGCGCCCGCCGGAGGACCCAAACUCUUUGUUUUCAUGGUUUUCUCCUCUGAGUGGAUUAUAAACAAAUAAAUCAAAACUUUCAACAACGGAUCUCUUGGUUCUGGCAUCGAUGAAGAACGCAGCGAAAUGCGAUAAGUAAUGUGAAUUGCAGAAUUCAAUGAAUCAUCGAAUCUUUGAACGCACAUUGCGCCCGCCAGUAUUCUGGCGGGCAUGCCUGUUCGAGCGUCAUUUCAACCCUCAGGCCCCCAGUGCCUGGCGUUGGAGAUCGGCCGUACGGCCGCGGCCCCCGCUGGGGGUUCGCGCGCCGGGCCGGCUCCGAAAUCUAGUGGCGGUCUCGCUGUAGUCCUCCUCUGCGUAGUACCACAACCUCGCAGUUGGAACGCGGCGGUGGCCAUGCCGUUAAACACCCCACUUCUGAAAGUUGACCUCGGAUCAGGUAGGAAUACCCGCUGAACUUAAGCAUAUCAAUAAGCGGAGGAA
rnacentral:rRNA from 1 species